rnacentral:tRNA from 1 species
ACUUUUGUUAGAAUAA